rnacentral:rRNA from 1 species
CCUACGGGGGGCAGCAGUGAGGAAUAUUGGUCAAUGGGCGGGAGCCUGAACCAGCCAAGUCGCGUGAGGGAAGACGGUCCUAUGGAUUGUAAACCUCUUUAGGCGGGGAGCAAUGCCGGGCACGCGUGCCCGGAGGGAGAGUACCCGCAGAAUAAGCAUCGGCUAACUCCGUGCCAGCAGCCGCGGUAAUACGUAGGUGGCAAGCGUUAUCCGGAUUUACUGGGUGUAAAGGGCGUGUAGGCGGGAGAGCAAGUCAGACGUGAAAUUCCAGGGCUCAACCCUGGAACUGCGUUUGAAACUGUUCUUCUUGAGUACUGGAGAGGCAGACGGAAUUCCUAGUGUAGCGGUGAAAUGCGUAGAUAUUAGGAGGAACACCAGUGGCGAAGGCGGUCUGCUGGACAGCAACUGACGCUGAGGCGCGAAAGCGUGGGGAGCAAACAGGAUUAGAUACCCCGGUAGUC